rnacentral:lncRNA from 1 species
CCCGAACCACCACUUGUUCUUCAUGGCCCAUGACAGAAACUUUCUUCACAAAUGUUGGUGUGAAUCAUUUGGAAGCUUUUUCUCUCAUGUCCUGGGAAGAUUCAAAUAUCUGGAGGCUGCAACAGCUGGGAUACCUAAAGAAUCUCUCCAUGUGGUCUCUCCAGCAUGGUGUCUUCAGGGUAGCUUAUUUUUUUAUAUGGAAGCUCCAAUCUGCCACUGUAUGUGUCCUGAGAAAGAGCCACAAAGAAGCCAUAUAACCUUCUAUGACCCAACACCUUAUAAUUCAGCAGUGCUGCUUCCAUUGCAUCCUAUUAUUCAGAAGAACUGAGUUGUUCAAUGCCAUAUUCAAGAGAGAAAAACUAAACUCUGCUUUCUGAUGGCUAUUGCUCUAGUGUGAAUGUUAUUGCCACUCCAAAAUUGAUGUGUUGGACACCUAAUCCUCAGUGCAACAGUGUUGGCAGGCGGUGCCUGAUGCAAGGUAUUUAGGCAAUGAGGGCUCUGCCCUCAAGGGUUGACUAAUUCCAUUAUGAAAACGGCCUGUGGAGGUGGGUUUCCUCUCUUCUGCUCUUCUGCCAUGUGAGAACGUAGCAUUUCUUUUCUCUGGAGGAUGCAACAAUCAAGGCACCAUCUUGGAAGUAGGAUACAGCCCUCACCAAAUAACUGAACCUGCUGAUGCCUUGAUCUUGGACAUCCCAGCCUCCAGAACUAUGAGACAUAAAUUUCUAUUUUUUAAAAAUAAAUUACCUAGUCUCAGGCAUUCUGUUGUAACAGCACAAAGAGGACUAACACAACUGGAAUGUCAGAGAAUUAUGGACAUAUUUUAAAAUCUCCUCAAAGACUCAUUUCAUCAUGGGAAAUUCAUUUCUUUAAUGAGAUUUUACAGAGUCUUAUAUCCAAAAUAGAAUAAUUGCUGGUAGUAUAAAGAGCUUCAUUCGUGAUCAGUUCCUUAUAUAACUAGAAAUUGGCACACAAAUCCAUAAAAAAUUAAGCACUGGGAACAUUAGGAGUAGAAAAAAAUAAAUAUCUGCAAAGAGGGACAGGAAAGACUUGCCAGAGCAUAACAAAAGAAAUAGGUGUCCGAUGAAGAAAGAGCUGCCAAAAGGCAAAAUAAAUGGCAGGUCAGCGUGGCAUUCCUGAGCUGCAGCUUCUGUUGUGCCACCAGCCUUCAGUGUGACUUUGGUUGACAGGCCACUUCCCCUCUGGGACCUCUGUGUCCUCAUUUGGAAAGUACAAUAUUGAACUAGAUAAUUUCAAAGGCACCUUAUGGCUCUGAUAUUCUGCAAUCCCAUUAUUAUUACUUUAAAUGCUGAAGCAUUUCCUUAAUAGGGAAGAAAUUAAAUGUCUUAACCCUUGGCUAUUAAUAUCAUCUGUUCCUACAUUUAAUGGGUUGAGAUGAGUCACAGAGGAUGAAAGACACUAUAGCUAAGGAUGUCAGCAGAGGUGACAGCCACUUCUACCUCAGGUGACCAUGGGAAGCAACAGCUGGCAUAUUUUAUACAAUUCAGAUGAGACAGGGAAGAACAAAUGACACCUUUGGGCCUUCAUUGGAAAAAAGUAGUCUAAAAGCAUCAACUGCUAUCCUUUGAUGCUCAGAUACUGCCUCCUAGUUAAUGAAGGCAAAAGUAUAAUUUAAGAGCAGUGGUUAAUGCUUUGACAAAGAAAAGGCGGCCCUGAAGACUUGAUAACCUUUCGUUCUUGUCCCUGAAGAAUUUUUGGAUAUGUUAUGUGCAAAAAACAUUUUUGCAUUUGAUUUAAAAACUAUGCAUUGUCUAUCAUACAUGCUUCUGGGCAGUGGGUUCCAGAGCCUGUUCAUUGUCUUUGAGCUAUUUUGCACCUGUUUUUCAAAUGCAGGUAACUGAUGGAUAUGCAAACUGUGUCUUAUCCAGCAGCAUUUCCAUUGGCUUCCCUCCCCACUGUGGAAAAAGUCUUUUUCCCUCCAUUUGUAAUUCGAUUUCUUGACUCUAUAUGUUUGUGCUUUUUGACAUUUACUUUGAACUAGUUCCUUUAUAUGAGUUAAAUAAAAUCUUUAACAUAUGUUUCA